rnacentral:rRNA from 1 species
GAUGAACGCUGGCGGCGUGCCUAAUACAUGCAAGUCGAGCGAAUGGAUUGAGAGCUUGCUCUUAUGAAGUUAGCGGCGGACGGGUGAGUAACACGUGGGUAACCUGCCCAUAAGACUGGGAUAACUCCGGGAAACCGGGUCUAAUACUGGAUAACAUUUUGAACCGCAUGGUUCGAAAUUGAAAGGCGGCUUCGGCUGUAACUUAUGGAUGGACCCGCGGCGCAUUAGAUAGUUGGUGAGGUAACGGCUCACCAAGGCAACGAUGCGUAGCCGACCUGAGAGGGUGAUCGGCCACACUGGGACUGAGACACGGCCCAGACUCCUACGGGAGGCAGCAGUAGGGAAUCUUCCGCAAUGGACGAAAGUCUGACGGAGCAACGCCGCGUGAGUGAUGAAGGCUUUCGGGUCGUAAAACUCUGUUGUCAGGGAAGAACAAGUGCUAGUUGAAUAAGCUGGCGCCUUGACGGUACCUAACCAGAAAGCCACGGCUAACUACGUGCCAGCCGCCGCCGUAA